GGGGAUUUAGCUCAGUGGUAGAGCACUUGCCUAGCAAGCGAAAGGCCCUGGGUUCGGUCCCCAGCUCA
rnacentral:tRNA from 1 species